rnacentral:rRNA from 1 species
UCUGGCUCAGAUUGAACGCUGGCGGCAGGCCUAACACAUGCAAGUCGAACGGUAGCACAGAGAGCUUGCUCUCGGGUGACGAGUGGCGGACGGGUGAGUAAUGUCUGGGAAACUGCCCGAUGGAGGGGGAUAACUACUGGAAACGGUAGCUAAUACCGCAUAACGUCUUCGGACCAAAGUGGGGGACCUUCGGGCCUCACACCAUCGGAUGUGCCCAGAUGGGAUUAGCUAGUAGGUGGGGUAAUGGCUCACCUAGGCGACGAUCCCUAGCUGGUCUGAGAGGAUGACCAGCCACACUGGAACUGAGACACGGUCCAGACUCCUACGGGAGGCAGCAGUGGGGAAUAUUGCACAAUGGGCGCAAGCCUGAUGCAGCCAUGCCGCGUGUAUGAAGAAGGCCUUCGGGUUGUAAAGUACUUUCAGCGGGGAGGAAGGCGA